CCUCUCCCCCCUGCGCAUCUUCCCCCAUGCCACAGCCACCUCCCGCGAUGCCCCCUGCCCCGGACCGGCGCCGACGAGGCCCCACCUUCCUACCAACCCUGGCCAACUCCCUUCCUUGCCUCCGACCAGCACCGGACGUCCACCUCCCCUGGCACGCCGAUCCGCCCCGCCUCCACCCUCAACAGUGUAGCACCGCCAUGGGCUGGAUCCGGCAAGAUCCACUGUGCCACCCCUCGACCAGCCCGGCCCUCGCGUCGGCGGCUCCACCGAGCCAAAUCCCGAGCCCCUCCUUCGCCAGUAUUCUUCACCGCCGACGCACAUCGACCGGCAGCGAAUCAUCCUGCCCAGACUGGUGCCAACGCGGCCCCGUGCCCAGCUUCUCCCUAUUGGCGUCGUCUUGGGCCCCGCCGCCUCGGUCUCUCGCCGGUUCAGUGCAUCUCGGGGCCAGCCCCUGACGAUUCCGACCGGCGACGGGGUCCCCUACUUGCGUGCCCCUUGGGACCCCCUGCAAUCCUGAUCUCCCUGGCCACGCAAUCCUCACGUAGCCUUCGUAGGGCUGUGGAUUGGAUUGACGGCGUGGAUACAACCUUCUGAGUCAGAUGCUGGAGGACGUGGUGGACUGUCGAUCUGCUCCACAGCCCGACAGGUGGCAGUGCAGACGAGCGUCGCCGGCUCAAGAGGAUUUGAUGAUGUCCAGGGCAUGGAUGAGGCCAAGCAGGAGCUUCUUGAGGUGAAUAUGGUGCACUAAUAAUCAAUACUAGUUGCUCAUGCUGGAAGAGAAAAAGGGGAAAACAUUGGAAAAAGAGUUGCAAUUAGGAUGAACAAGAGUUUUGUAAAAGAGGAGCUGAGAGGGCACAUCAAGAUGGAAGCUCACUUUUCAGGUCCAUGGCCAGCAAAGCGUGGGACAACAGUUGUGGCAAUGGA